rnacentral:rRNA from 1 species
UGGGGAAUAUUGGACAAUGGGCGAAAGCCUGAUCCAGCCAUGCCGCGUGUGUGAAGAAGGUCUUCGGAUUGUAAAGCACUUUAAGUUGGGAGGAAGGGCAGUUACCUAAUACGUGAUUGUUUUGACGUUAGCGACAGAAUAAGCACCGGCUAACUCUGUGCCAGCAGCCGCGGUAAUACAGAGGGUGCAAGCGUUAAUCGGAAUUACUGGGCGUAAAGCGCGCGUAGGUGGUUUGUUAAGUUGGAUGUGAAAUCCCCGGGCUCAACCUGGGAACUGCAUUCAAAACUGACUGACUAGAGUAUGGUAGAGGGUGGUGGAAUUUCCUGUGUAGCGGUGAAAUGCGUAGAUAUAGGAAGGAACACCAGUGGCGAAGGCGACCACCUGGACUAAUACUGACACUGAGGUGCGAAAGCGUGGGGAGCAAACA